rnacentral:lncRNA from 1 species
CCAGAUCCCAAGAGCAUCCCUUGGUGAAACGUCAUUAUUAACAGCUGUGCAGAUGCUGAGGAUUCCCAUGAAACUGUCUUCCACUCCACGGAUAUAACCUCCGUCAAGUUUCCUUCUCACCUGAAGAGAUUUGAAGAAAAAUGUUUACCUUCAGGAAAGAAAAAAGGAAGAGCUCUAUUUCUACUGCAGUGUGGUGUUAUGUGAUGCAAAGGAGCCCACAUGAGACCUGCGAUGUGCAAGCAAGUGCAUUCCUGGCAAACAGACUCGGUAAGCCAGUUC